AUCAACAAUGUUGAGUUCUACAAACCUGUAAUGAUUUGCGAAAAUGAUCCUACAUCUCUUUGAACAUUCAAUGGACUGAGUUUGC